GUCAUAUGCUUGUCUAAAAGAUUAAGCCAUGCAAGUGUAAGUAUAAAUAGACAAAUUAUUGUACUAUGAGACUGCGAAUGGCUCAUUAAAAUCAGCAAUCAUUUAUUCGGUGGAUCGAAGUAAUUCUAAAAUGGAUAACCGUGGGAAAUCUAGAGCUAAUACAUGCAAAAGAGAAUUCUUUGAAAAAGGAAUGCAUAUAUUAGAUACAAAUCCAAAAAUACAAAGGUGAAUCAUAAUAUUUAUAGCAAAUUAUACAGAGGAAGUAAUUCUUCUUGAUAAUAAACCGAUCAAAUUUCUGCCCUAUCAUACUUUGGACGGUAAUGUAGUGGAUUACGGUGGUGAUGACGGGUAACGGAGAAUUAGGGUUUUGAUUCCGGAGAGGGAGCAUGAGAAAUAGGCUACCACUUCCAAGGAAGG
rnacentral:rRNA from 1 species